AGGGAAUAUUGGACAAUGGGCGCAAGCCUGAUCCAGCCAUGCCGCGUGAGUGAAGAAGGCCCUCGGGUUGUAAAGCUCUUUUGUUGGGGAAGAAAAGCCUUGGGUUAAUACCCUGAGGUUCUGACGGUACCCAAAGAAUAAGCACCGGCUAACUUCGUGCCAGCAGCCGCGGUAAUACGAAGGGUGCAAGCGUUACUCGGAAUUACUGGGCGUAAAGCGUGCGUAGGUGGUUCGUUAAGUCUGAUGUGAAAGCCCUGGGCUCAACCUGGGAAUUGCAUUGGAUACUGGCGAGCUAGAGUGCGGUAGAGGGUAGUGGAAUUCCCGGUGUAGCAGUGAAAUGCGUAGAGAUCGGGAGGAACAUCUGUGGCGAAGGCGACUGCCUGGACCAGCACUGACACUGAGGCACGAAAGCGUGGGGAGCAAAC
rnacentral:rRNA from 1 species